rnacentral:lncRNA from 1 species
UUUCCCUUCUGAUAUUGGCCACUUUGGUUGCUGGGAAAAUUUAUUGAGGAAUCUCUGUUGCAUCUCCUGCCAAUUCCCAAAAGGUUGGUGCUGGUAGAUAAACUAGUCUCUGGCUGCAUCAUGUAGGGACAUGGGAAAUGCCUUCAUUAGCACUGCUUCCUCUGAAAUUCCCGUAGACUUCAUGGAAGCACAUAUCUAGCUGAAUUCCUUGAUAUGCUUGUGUGGAUCUUCAUGUGUCAGCCCAUGGCAGAAGCUUAAUUAACUUGGUUUUCAGCUCAAAAUUAGGCAUCUCCCUCAUUUGUGGUGCUUGAAGGCAAGGAGGGUGGAGGACUGUCUCCUGAUUAUUCCACUCCUUCAUAGACAUCUCUCUUGGCCAGACCAUAAUGGCUAAUCCAAAUUUGCAGCACAGAAUUUGCCUCUAGACCAAGGACAACAAUAACUACAAUCCUGC